rnacentral:lncRNA from 1 species
CAUGGGAGCCUAUUCCCUCCUGGCCUGACCCCUCCCAGAGUGCCUGCCUCCGAGGAUCAUCACCACGUGCGGGGUGAAGUUUGAGGGCACAUUAAUCGUCAGCCCAUUGCAAUCUAAAUUUCCAACUCCUACUGAAGAACUAAAAAUAUGCAGGGAGCAGCUUCUUAAAAGAGAGGAAGAAAUUACUGAACUGAAAGCAGAAAGAAACAACACCAGGGUCAGUAGGGGGAUUCUCACGUGUUGACAUUUGCCCGAGGGGGGUCACCGCUCGCCUCAGUGUUGCUGUCUUUAAACUCUGUCUGAUUUUCAAGUCAUUUUUCACAUCUUCCCACUGAGCAGACCAGGGGGCAUCAGUUCAGGGUUCUCAUACCUUGCUUCAAAUUUAUGAUGAGAGCUAAUGUAAUCUUAGUAGGGGGGAAUUCUCUUAACUUACAUUUUUGUCCACACUACACUUUGUGUGAGAUCUUAAUUCCCCGAUCAGGGAUUAAAACCCAUGACCCCUGCAGAAGUGUGGAGUCUUAACUACUGGGGCACUGGGGAAGUCCACUCUUAACUUUAGACUGAACUGGUGGGAUUCUGAUGUGCCUUAGCAUGUUUCUGGCUAUAGCGUGAGGCCGAGAGGAGUUAUCGGCCCUGAAUUCAAGCAUGAGGUUGAAGGUGCUCCUUUGGCCCCGCCCUGCAGCUGCUGCUGGAGCACCUGGAGUGUCCGGUUUCCUGGUCCGUGCCUUCCCUCUGGAUGACGGCAGGCAAGCAGCAGGCGCAGUCCCCAGUCGGCAUGACCAGAGAGGUGGACGUGCUCAGGGCACUGAAAUUGCUGUUUGAGCACCACAAGGCCCUGGACAAGAAGAUGAUUCUUAAAGAGGAGAAUAACCAGGAAAAGAUACUAACGGACGGGGUGCUUGAUGUAAAUCACGAGCAAGAAAACAUGCCAAGUGCCAAUGGCAAGGCAAGUUCUUGGUCUCGCUCUCUGUCUGGUUCUCGUCUUACCAUCCAGUCUGUGCGGGGCUGUUGGGACCUCUCACCAAUGCACCAUGUAGGUCUGAGUGGCCGUGAGGGUCCUGUGAGCUCCCAGAGUGCAAAAGGCAGUUUUGACCUCACCAAUUGCCCGUAAGUGCUGUGUUCCCUCCCUCCCAAAACAAGGCUGUCUAAGGCUUCCUUUCCCCCUUAGAGACCCUCUGAUGGCUCUCUAAGCCACGAGGAAGACCUGGCUAAGGUGACGAGCUCCAGGAAGUCAUGGACAAGCAGUCGCAGGAGCAGAGCCAGAUGAAGGAGCGCCUGGCAGCCCUCUCUGCCCACGUGACAGAGCUGGAGGAGGACCUGGACACGGCCAGGAAGGACCUCCUCAAGUCCGAGGAAGUGAACACGAAACUGCAGGGGGACGUCCGCGAAGUGAGUGACGGUGGCCGUGUCUGUUGUCCUGAGGUGGACUGUGGGUCCCUUGUUCUCCCAGUGAUCUCAGCCUUGGGACGGCUGCGUGAGCAAGAGCAGAGCACUGGCGAGACCGCGACUGGCUGCCUUCCCGCCUCUGUGUCGAGGUCUCUGGGGUAGAAGAGGCCUGGGCCAGGCGGACCAAGCUGAGGGCAGCCCUGGCGCUGUGCUGCUCCCUGGGUGUGGACUCCUCAUUUCUACAAGUUCUAGGGGCCCCAGUGUGCUCCUUUUGUAAAAAUUCAUUCAUCCAUUCAUUCACUUAUUGGUGUAUAGUUGCUUUACACUGCUGUGUCAAUUUCUGCUGUACAGCAAAGUGAAUCAGUCAUCUAUCUAUCUAUCUAUGUAUCUCCCUCUCUUUUAGAUUUCCUGCCCAUUUUCACCACAGAGCACUGAGUAGACUCUCCUGCGCUGUUCACUCGGUCCUUACUCGUUGACUUGACGUGUAGUGUCAGUGCUGUGUAUGUGUCAACCGCAGUCUCCCGGUUCAUCCCCCUCCCCACCUGCCUGUCGAAUGUGUUCCUGAUGAUGCUGAAAUUUCCUUCUGAUUCUCUCAGGCGAGUCUGGUGAUGUCUGUGGAGCCCGUUCUCUCGAAGACAUGGGAGCAUGCUGUGGGGGCUCUGCUGAGGCAGCUUGCCUGGCCAUCUUCUCUCGUUUUCUGAGGUUCCACUCCUUGAAGGGAUGUGUGAUAAUGACACCAGCGGUCAGACAAGUCGAGUGGCGUUUGUUCACCCUCAGAUCCUCAGCCCCGAGCUGCGUGACCCUGUGGAAUCGUGAUGUUUCUGGCGGUCGUGUCGUGAUUUAUGAGAAACUCCCUAGCGGUCACUGUGAAAACAGAAGAGUGCUGGGGACUCAGGCCUCGUCCUGUGAGCCUCACUUCUCCUCUGCGCGCAGACAGCGCCCACCCUGCCCCACCCCUCCCCCGUGAGACCGUCUCAGAGUGCACCCCUCCAACAUGUGGUACAGCAGGUGUACUUGUUUAGUAGCUCGGUGUGACUAAUCUGUCUGAGAACUCAAUACAGAAAUAUUUGCACAUGUUUGUAUAACGUGUUCACACUACUCUUUGGCAACACGAGGAGAUUAGGUGGCAGAGAUUAAUACACAGAGAAUUCUGGAAAAAGCAUUUUUAAGACCUUUCACUUUUAAUGUUAGGACAACAUCGGUUACUUAGUGAGCACAGAGGGACCUGGCAUGGAUUUUGAGCCUACACUUUGACUUUUGUUUCCACUCGUUAAUAUUCUUACUUUAAUUCUGAGGAAAUUACAUGAGAUUUUUUCCAACUUUUACCCAAGGAAACGAGCCUCAGAGCUCCCCGUUGGAUCUGUUGAAGGUCCCUCCCUGUUCUGGGUCAAGCCCGCCUGUAUGGUGUAGCAGACAGAGGUCCUGACGUCAUGCCAGAUACCUUCCCUUCUGGAAUUCUUGCAAUAACAGGGUAGUUUAGUAUACUUUUUGUUUGCCGUUUGGGUUUAUUAUGUAGAAAAGAAGCUUGGUAAACCAAGUGGCUGGACAGAAUGUUAAGACAGUUGGGUGCCAAUCGUGGCAAAUGUGACCUUUGAGAUAGGCGCAUUUUUGCUCACGUCUGAGAAAACUGCCAUAUCUAGGACUUUAAUUUUGAGGAUGUUAACUUUAUGUUUGAUUUGAAACUUAGGACGACCUCAAUGAUAAACUUGAAAAUGAAAUUGCAAAUAAGGAUUCUAUCUGUCGACAGGUAAUGGCCUUUACUGAACUGUCUGACUUUUAUUGUAGUGAAUUACUGAGGAAGGAAGGUAAAGACCUUUUCAUGUGACUCCCACGUUGGAAAUCAAGUCCCAUUGUAAAGUUCUUAUGACCCUAAAGUAUUGCGUUCAAAAGUGUGGGUGUACCUCAUGGUAAAUCAGCUGUACUGGAAGGAAAUACAUUUUUUAAAAAUUGGGGGUGACUGCAACUUACAGGUUUGAAUUAUUUGGGACUUGGUUUAACCAUUUUGUGGAAUUCCACUUCUGACUCUUUUGUUUUACUUGAACGUGAAACCGUUGGCUUGUUAGCGUUUUUACUGAAAGAGCAGCAAGCAGCAGGGAACUUCAGGGCAGCUGGCUGCCUGUUUGGAACUGGGGUCACUGUGACAAAAGGCAGGGUUAGAGCUCCCGUCUGAUUAGGGUUUGUACUUCCUGUGGUUUGGUGAGCCUUACUCGCUCUUGUUUACCGGUGGUCUCAGAUAAUCAGGACUUAACCAGGAAAACCAAAUCUGGCUUCUCUAAAACAAAGUGAGUCAGUCUGGUGUGUGCCAAAGUAUAUCAUUGUCCCCACCACAAAAAUAAAAUACUAGAAAGCCAUUGAAAUAUAUGAUGUGGAAUGCUAAUUAAGAGCAUUACGAUAUACAAAAUAAUGGCUGUAAAAAGCAGAUCAGAAAAUACUAUGUACCAUAUGCUAUUGUUUUCUGAGGGUUUUAAAGCAUAUCAUAUUGUUUGUGUAUGUACAUAGAGUAAUACGCACACAGAAAAAGUAAGAAAGCUGCUUAGAAACAAAUGCUAACCUCUCAGGAACCUGAGCUUAUAGAUACUUUAAUUUUUUUCUUUUUUUAAAAAAAGAAUCUGUCUAAAUGUUCUACAUUGAAAGUUUUUCAGAGUAAGAAGAUCUGUUAAAAGAAUAAUCGUGCAUUAACAAAUAUUAGUUGACUGGCAUUUCACCAGGCACACUCUUAUCAGGUGUAUAUUUCAGAGGAGAUGAAAGCCAUAUUUUGGCUUACACACCCGUGGUCAUCUGCGGUCGGUAGGGUUCCCUUCAAAUUAUGAUUCUGGUAAUGUUUUAAGAAAGGCCCGUACUGAACCCUUCUUCCCUUAACUUGUCAAUAAGAAUUAAUAAGAUUCUACAGAAAACUGAUCUUCUUUAAUAUAUAAGAACUUUUUUUUUUAAGACUCCUUUGGGGAACGUUUAGGAAAAGCAAAUACUCUGGCAGGAGGUGUUCUGCUCACUGAGACCAAGCCCAGAAACACAGAGAAAAUUUACCCUGACGCAGCUUCCGAAACAGAACAGUCCAGUAGACACGUGCGUUUAGGUUUUGUCUCAGCUUACUUAAAGCGACAGUGGCUACACCUCUGGGCCUGUUUCGAUCCUCUGCUCUCCCGUUGUAGACAGAGGAUAAGAACCGCCAGUUGCAGGAGCUCCUGGAGCUGGUGGAGAAGCUACAGCAGACGCUGCAGAGGGCGGAGAUGCUGCCCGAGGUGGAGGUAGAGCAGGCGCCCAGGGUGGCUGCGCUCUCCAUGGCGCCGCUCUGGGUCCCCCGUGGGGGGUGGGGGGUGGGGGGCGGCGCGGGGA